AGGUAGCGCCUCGUGAAUUCAUCUUCGGGGGUAGAGCACUGUUUCGGCUAGGGGGCCAUCCCGGCUUACCAACCCGAUGCAAACUACGAAUACCGAAGAGUGAUACUCAGGAGACACACGGCGGGUGCUAACGUCCGUCGUGGAGAGGGAAACAACCCAGACCGCCAGCUAAGGUCCCAAAGUCUAUAUUAAGUGGGAAACGAAGUGGGAAGGCUUAGACAGCUAGGAUGUUGGCUUAGAAGCAGCCAUCAUUUAAAGAAAGCGUAAUAGCUCACUAGUCGAGUCGGCCUGCGCGGAAGAUGUAACGGGGCUCAAAUAUAGCACCGAAGCUGCGGCAUCAGUAGCAAUACUGUUGGGUAGGGGAGCGUUCUGUAAGCGGAUGAAGGUGGCUCGAGAGGGCUGCUGGACGUAUCAGAAGUGCGAAUGCUGACAUAAGUAACGAUAAAACGGGUGAAAAACCCGUUCGCCGGAAGACCAAGGGUUCCUGUCCAACGUUAAUCGGGGCAGGGUGAGUCGGCCCCUAAGGCGAGGCUGAAAAGCGUAGUCGAUGGGAAACGGGUUAAUAUUCCCGUACUUGGAUAAACUGCGAUGUGGGGACGGAGCAGGUUAGGUUAUCGCACUGUUGGAUAUGUGCGUUUAAGUUUGUAGGUGAGAAGUUUAGGCAAAUCCGGACUUCUUUAACACUGAGAGAUGAUGACGAGGCUCUACGGAGCUGAAGUAACCGAUACCACACUUCCAGGAAAAGCCACUAAGCUUCAGGUUUAUCUAAACCGUACUGAAAACCGACACAGGUGGUCAGGUAGAGAAUACUCAGGCGCUUGAGAGAACUCGGGUGAAGGAACUAGGCAAAAUAGCACCGUAACUUCGGGAGAAGGUGCGCCGGCGUAGAUUGUAGUCCCUUGCGGGCGAAGGUUGAACCGGUCGAAGAUACCAGCUGGCUGCAACUGUUUAUUAAAAACACAGCACUCUGCAAACACGAAAGUGGACGUAUAGGGUGUGAUGCCUGCCCGGUGCUGGAAGGUUAAUUGAUGGUGUAAUCGAAAGAGAAGCUCCUGAUCGAAGCCCCAGUAAACGGCGGCCGUAACUAUAACGGUCCUAAGGUAGCGAAAUUCCUUGUCGGGUAAGUUCCGACCUGCACGAAUGGCAUAAUGAUGGCCAGGCUGUCUCCACCCGAGACUCAGUGAAAUUGAAAUCGCCGUGAAGAUGCGGUGUACCCGCGGCUAGACGGAAAGACCCCGUGAACCUUUACUAUAGCUUGACACUGAACAUUGAAUUUUGAUGUGUAGGAUAGGUGGGAGACUUUGAAGUAGUCACGCCAGUGAUUAUGGAGUCGUCCUUGAAAUACCACCCUUUAACGUUUGAUGUUCUAACGAAGAUUACGAAACGUGGUCUCGGACAGUGUCUGGUGGGUAGUUUGACUGGGGCGGUCUCCUCCCAAAGAGUAACGGAGGAGCACGAAGGUUAGCUAAUCCUGGUCGGACAUCAGGAGGU
rnacentral:rRNA from 1 species